rnacentral:rRNA from 1 species
UACGUAGGGGGCAAGCGUUGUCCGGAUUUAUUGGGCGUAAAGAGCGUGUAGGCGGCCAGGUAGGUCUGCUGUGAAAACUCGAGGCUUAACCUCGAGAUGUCGGCGGAAACCAUCUGGCUAGAGUCCGGAAGAGGAGAGUGGAAUUCCUGGUGUAGCGGUGAAAUGCGCAGAUAUCUGGAGGAACACCGGUGGCGAAGGCGGCAUCCUGGACCAAUUCUGACGCUGAGGAGCGAAAGCCAGGGGAGCAAACGGG